rnacentral:lncRNA from 1 species
GGGACUCUCAAGAAUCUCCUCCAGCACCAUAAUUCAAAAGCAUCAAUUCUUCGGCGAUCAGCCUUCUUUAUGGUCCAGCUCUCACUUCCAUACAUCACUACUGGGAAAACCAUAGCUUUUACUAUACGGACCUUUGUUGGCAAGGUGAUGUCUCACAUAGAGAUUUCUCAGGAGACAGAUGAGGUGAUCAGGCACUCCCAUUUCUUUAAGAACUUGCCAUAGUUUGCUGUGGUCGACACAGUCAAAGGCUUUUGCAUAGUCAAUGAGGCAGAAGGAGAUGUCUUUCUGGAACUCUCUAACUUUCUCCAUAAUACAGCGUAUGUUUGCAAUUUGGUCUCUGGUUCCUCUUUCUCUUCUAAAUCCAGCUUGCACUUCUGGGAGUUCUCGGUCCACAUACUGCUUGAGCCUUCCUUGUAGAAUUUUAAGCAUAACCUUGCUAGGGUGUGAAAUGAGUGCAAUUGUGCGGUAGUUGACGCAUUCUUUGGCACUGCCCUUCUUUGGGAUUGGGAUGUAGACUGAUCUUCUCCAAUCCUCUGGCCACUGCUGAGUUUUCCAAAUUUGCUGGCAUAUUGAGUGUAGCACCUUAACAGCAUCAUCUUUUAAAAUUUUAAAUAGUUCAGCUGGAAUACCAUCACUUCCACUGGCCUUGUUAUUAGCAGUGCUUUUCUAAGGCCCAUUUGACUUCACUCUCAAGGAUGUCUGCCUCAAGGUCAGCAACCACACUACCUGGGGUGUAUGAGCCAUCCAUAUCUUUCUGGUAUAAUUCCUCUGUGUAUUCUUGCCACCUCUUCUUGAUGUCUUCUGCUUCUGUUAGGUCCUUACCACUUUUGUCCUUUAUUAUGGUAAUCUUUGUACGAAAUGUUCCUUUCAUAUCUCCAAUUUUCUUGAACAGAUCUCUGGUUCUUCCCAUUCUGUUGUUUUCCUCUAUUUCUUUGCAUUGCUCGUUUAAGAAGGCCUUCUUGUCUCUCCUUGCUAUUUUCGGAAAUCUGCAUUCAAUUUCCUAUAUCUUUCACUAUCUCCCUAGCAUUUUGCUUGCCUUCUCUCCCCCGCUAUUUGUAAGACCUCGUUGGACAGCCACUUUGCUUUCUUGCAUUUCCUUUUCAUUGGGAUGGUUUUCGUUGCUGCCUCCUGUAUAAUGUUACAAGCCUCCAUCCAUAGUUCUUCAGGCACCAAAUCUAAAUCCUUAAACCUGUUCCUCACUUCCACUGUGUAUUCAUAAGGGAUUUGAUUUAGAUUAUAUCUUACCGGCCCAGUGGUUUUUCCUACUUUCUUCAGUUUAAGCUUGAAUUUUGCUAUAAGAAGCUGAUGAUCUGAGCCACAGUCAGCUCCAGGUCUUGUUUUUGCUGACUUCUCCAUCUUUGGCUGCAGAGAAUAUAAUCAAUCUGAUUUCGAUGCUGCCCAUCUCGUGAUGUCCAUGUGUAGAGUCGUCUCUUGUCUUGUUGGAAAAGCGUGUUUGUGAUGACCAGCUUGUUCUCUUGACAGAACUCUAUUAGCCUUUGCCCUGCUUCGUUUUGAUCUCCAAGGCCAAACUUGCCAGUUGUUCCUUUUAUCUCUUGAUUCCCUACUUUAGCAUUCCAAUCCCCUAUAAUGAGAAGAAUAUCCUUCUUUGGUGUCACUUCUAUAAGGUGCUGUAAGUCUUCAUAGAAUUGCUCAAUUUCAGUUUCUUCAGCACCAGUAGUUGGUGCAUAAACUUGGAUUACUGUGAUGUUAAAAGGUCUGCCUUGGAUUCGUAUUGAGAUCAUUCUAUCAUUUUUGAGAUUGCAUCCCAGUACAGCUCUCGCCACUCUUUUGUUAACUAUGAAGGCCACUCCAUUUCUUUUAUGGGAUUCUUGCCCACAGUAGUAGAUAUGAUGGUCAUCCGAACUGAAUUCGCCCAUUCCCGUCCAUUUUAGUUCACUGAUGCCAGGAUGUCAAUAUUUAUUCUUGCCAUCUCAUUUUUGACCACAUCCAACUUACCCAGGUUCAUGGUUCUUACAUUCCAGGUUCCUAUGCAAUAUUUUUCUUUACAGCAUUGGACUUUCCUUUUGCUUCCAGGCAUAUCCGCAACUGAGCGUCCUUUCGGCUUUGGCCCAGCCACUUCAUCAGCUCUGAAUCUACUUGUACUUGUCCUCCGCUCUUCCUCAGUAGCAUGUUGGAUGCCUUCCGACCCGAGGGGCUCAUCUUCCAGAGUCAUAACUUUUAUAUGCCUGUUGCCUUUGUCCAUGGAGUUUUCUUGGCAGGGAUAUUGGAGUGGCUUGCCGGUUCCUCCUCCAGGUGGAUCACGUUUGGUCAAAACUCUCCACUAUGACCUGUUCAUCUUGGGUGCCCUGCUCGGCAUAGUUCAUAGCUUCUCUGAGUUAUUCAAGCCUCUUCGCCACGGCAAGGCAGUGAUCCAUGAAGGGGUCCCACAUGCUUGCGCACACACUAUUUCCGGUGCACAUCCAGGUCAGCGGAGCACCCAUGUGCACACACUAUUUCUGUGUGUAUAGGCGCCAUCAACCCGGAAGUCAGUCCCCGCUCUGCGCUGUGCCAGUAAGAGCGGGUGGCGGGGGCAGCAGGGGUCGCCAUGGGCCAGUUAGACAAGCCUCAUGGGCCACUACUGACCCAUGGCCCUUAGGUUGCCGACCUCUGUAUUAGAGGCUUAAUUGCUUAUUAUUUGCCUAGUUUGAGCUGCAUUUGAACUGCAUCCCUUCCGUUUUAUUUUUUUUACUUUUAUUAUUUAAUAUGCACGUACAACCAAACAUAUACUCACUUACUUUAGAAAACUUGAAUACAAAUACAAAUAAUACAAAAACACUACACUUAUGUGACUUCCCUCCACCAGUGUACAUCAUUUCUUAUUCCUUAAUAUUCUUAUUUACAUUGCAAUCUUUAUCUCUCAUCCUUAAUAUUGUUAUUUUACUAAUAUUUUAUUUUCUGAGUCAGCUUUACACAUUUAGUCUAAACAUAUCAGCAUGUUGUUUGUAGAACAGUGUUUACUCAUGUAUUCUUCAAACCAUUUCCACUGUGACCUUCAGUGAAUUCAAAAGGUUUAUUUAGCCAAUCUUCCUUUGUGGGUAUCUAGUUUCUUUUCCAGUUUUUGGCAAGUAGGAGCCUGGCUGUGGCGGCUGUGUAUAGAAAUAUUGCUUUCCUCUCCUGUGGUAUGUCCUUUCCAAUUAUGCUCAAAAGAAAUGCUUCAGGUUUUUUUUCUAGAGGAAUUUUGAGCAUCUUUUUUCAUUCCUCAUGCACACAACUCCAAAAAAUUUUGACUUUUCCGCAGCCCCACCAUAAAUGCAUCAUGGUUUCCUCUACCUCCUUGCAUUUCCAACAAAGGUUGGAUCUAGACUUGUAUAUUUUGGCAAGUUUUGAAGUUGUUAUGUGCCUCCUGUAAAACAUUUUCAUAAUGUUUUCUUUUAUGGAGUAACAGGCGGUAAACCUUAUAUCAAUCUUUAGAAGCCUAUCCCACUGUUCUAAAUGUAUUGCAUGACCAAUGUCCUGGGCCCAUUUGAUCUGUACUUCUUUUACUUCAUCUUUUAAGUUCCAUUCCAAUAUGAAAUCAUAUACUUUUGAUAAUAAUUUUUUAUUGUUUCUGUUAUGUACUGAAGUUCUCACCCUGGGCCAGCAGGGGGAUACAGUAGGUAGUUUUCACUCAGGUCCACAUAUGCAAAUAAGGGAUUGAAAGUGACGUUCAGUGAUUGGAUAGUUACGGAAAGUUGUUACAGUUGCGUUGUAGAGGAGCUCUAUAUAGGCAGGCUGGCUGAACCCUUCAGUUCAGUUCUGUUCUGACCUGUGAAUAAACAAGAGCUGUUUAAAGAAUCGCUGUGUCGUCUGAUAUGUUCACCCACAAUGUAACAGUUUCUUAAUAGAACUUUUUGUAAUUUUGAUUCUUCCUUUUCAAAGCCUAAUUUUUUAUCCAAAUUAAAAACGUUGUUUAAGUGGUGAUAUUGGAGCCAGUCUGUGAGGUGGUGCCUUAUUAUCUUCAAAUGAUUUCAACUUUAUCUGGUCUUGUUCUUCCUUUAAUAGUUGCCUAUACGUUUCCCAAUUCCCUGUCAUGUUUCAUUUUUUAACCGCAAAUGCCUCCAAUAAUAUGGUUGUUGCUUCCUGAUAAUAUGGUUGUUAAAUCCUUUGUGGACUUUUAUUAUUUUAUGUGCCACCCAUAUCUCUUGUUGAAGCUCUCUAGAUCUAAUAUAUCUAAUUUUUCCAAUAGAAUCCAAUAUUUUAUCCAGAUUAAACACUCAGCUUUAUAAUAAAUUUUGAAAUUUGGCAACA